GACGAACGCUGGCGGCGUGCCUAAUACAUGCAAGUCGAGCGAAGUUUUUCUGGUGCUUGCACUAGAAAAACUUAGCGGCGCACGGGUGAGUCACACGUAAAGAACCUGCCUCAUAGACUGGGACCACUAUUGGAAACGAUAGCUAAUACCGGAUAACAGUAUUUCUCGCAUGAGAGAUAUUUAAAAGUUGGUUAUGCUAACACUAUGAGAUGGCUUUGCGGUGCAUUAGCUAGUUGGUGGGGUAAAGGCCCACCAAGGCGACGAUGCAUAGCCGACCUGAGAGGGUGAUCGGCCACACUGGGACUGAGACACGGCCCAGACUCCUACGGGAGGCAGCAGUAGGGAAUCUUCCGCAAUGGGCGAAAGCCUGACGGAGCAACGCCGCGUGAGUGAAGAAGGAUUUCGGUUCGUAAAGCUCUGUUGUUAGGGAAGAAUGGAUAUGUAGUAACUAUACAUGUAAGAGACGGUACCUAACCAGAAAGCCACGGCUAACUACGUG
rnacentral:rRNA from 1 species